rnacentral:rRNA from 1 species
CCUAACACAUGCAAGUCGAACGAGCGAGAGAGAGCUUGCUUUCUCAAGCGAGUGGCGAACGGGUGAGUAACGCGUGAGGAACCUGCCUCAAAGAGGGGGACAACAGUUGGAAACGACUGCUAAUACCGCAUAAGCCCACGACCCGGCAUCGGGUAGAGGGAAAAGGAGCAAUCCGCUUUGAGAUGGCCUCGCGUCCGAUUAGCUGGUUGGUGAGGUAACGGCCCACCAAGGCGACGAUCGGUAGCCGGACUGAGAGGUUGAACGGCCACAUUGGGACUGAGACACGGCCCAGACUCCUACGGGAGGCAGCAGUGGGGAAUAUUGCACAAUGGGGGAAACCCUGAUGCAGCGACGCCGCGUGGAGGAAGAAGGUCUUCGGAUUGUAAACUCCUGUUGUUGAGGAAGAUAAUGACGGUACUCAACAAGGAAGUGACGGCUAACUACGUGCCAGCAGCCGCGGUAAAACGUAGGUCACAAGCGUUGUCCGGAAUUACUGGGUGUAAAGGGAGCGCAGGCGGGAAGGCAAGUUGGAAGUGAAAUCCAUGGGCUCAACCCAUGAACUGCUUUCAAAACUGUUUUUCUUGAGUAGUGCAGAGGUAGGCGGAAUUCCCGGUGUAGCGGUGGAAUGCGUAGAUAUCGGGAGGAACACCAGUGGCGAAGGCGGCCUAC